rnacentral:lncRNA from 1 species
GAAAACUCUAUCUGACCUGGUCCUCGAGAACGCCCGCCGCUCCAUUGCCCGCGCCGACCACCUCCGCCGUGCCUUCUCCCUGGCUGCCUCCGAUGGCACUUACCAGUCCCCGGUCGUCUCUGACAUCGCGGCCUACCUCAUGGAGGUCAACGUCGGCACGCCGGCCAACAAGUUCUUCGCCAUCGCCGACACCGGCAGCGACCUUACCUGGACCGACUGCGAGCCCUGCGAAGGCUGCUACCCGCAGGAUUCCCCCCUCUUCGAUCCCACAAAAUCUUCCACCUACCGCGACAUCUCAUGCCAGGCGGACGCCUGCGCCAAUCUCCCCCAUGUCCGAGCUGCUCGAGCGACAGCUCCACGUGCCAGUACACCUACAGCUACGGAGAUGGAUCGCACACUUCCGGCAAUCUUGCAUCCGAGACCUUCACCUUCGACGUCGCCGGCGGCCGCCCCGUCAAAAUCCCCAAGGUGGCGUUCGGAUGCUCGCAUGAUAGCCAAGGGAGCUUCAGCAACGCAACCGCCGGGCUUGUCGGCCUCGCCCGCGGUUCUUUGUCUCUGGUUUCCCAGCUGGGCUCCGUCAUUGACAAGAAAUUCUCCUACUGCUUGGUUCCUUACUCCGAAAAAUCCGUCUCGAGCAAGAUCAGCUUUGGUGCCGACGCGGUAGUCUCGGGCCGGAAUGUGGUAUCCACUCCUCUUAUCCAGGGUCUUAACGACACUUUCUACACCGUUUCUCUCCAGAGCCUUACCGUCGACGGCGAUAGUAUCCUGGUGAAUAGCGGGGAUGUUAUAGUCGACUCAGGCACGACCCUGACGAUGCUCGAUCCAAGACUGGUGCGAUCAUUGGAGGAUAAGUUGACGAAGAUCAUCGAUCUCCCGACGGUAAAAGAUCCCGAAGGGGUGUUCAACCUGUGCUUCGAUGUCAGCAAAAGCCGGAAAGUACAAUUCCCGGAUAUCACGUUCCAGUUCGACGGGGCGGCUUUGACAUUGAGCUCCGUCAAUACGUUCAUUCCGUAUGACGAGAAUACUGCGUGCCUUGCUAUCGUGCCGACCGAGGAGCUUGGGAUCAUUGGCAACAUUGCUCAGCAGAACUUCAACAUUGGCUAUGAUCUCGAGAACCAGAAGCUCUCCUUUCCCCCGCGGAUUGCACCAAGUUCUGAAGGGUUCUUAUUAGCUAUCGAUGUUUUCCCUUCAGUGUCUCCGUUCACUAGUUUAUGGACUUUUGUCUUUCCAUUUAAUCUAUUAAUCUGCACCGAAAUAUUUCAUAAUAAAUUUCUAUGUAAAACAAAUAGAGUUCACUCAUUUUAAUUCUUUCUAUAUCUAUACCACUAAAAAUGUCUAGAAAAAAGAUCACUCAUUUUGGUACUCUUCGGCCCACCCAUUGCUUGGGUACGGAAUUAAAAUUAUGUGGGAAUAUAUUUUACUAUGAUCCGAAUGAGCUCUAUCCAACAUCAGAAAACAUAUAUAAAUUUCUUGUCCAAAAUAUAUAAAGGAUUUUUCCUUUUUUUUAAAUUUUGCAUAAAAAAUUCACUUUGUAAUCAAGUUUGCAAAAAAAAACAAAAUCAGAUUUAUUUUAUCUGCAAGAAAAUAUAUAGUUAGGGUUCUUGGAUAAUUCUAUUCCGGAGUCUAAGUACAAGAUGCAAAAGUUUAAAUAGAUGUCUUGUGCAUAUUUAAUAAUUAACUAUGCAUAUCACUUAUUUUAUACUUACGUCCAUGGAUAGAGUUUGCAAACUCUUAAAUAUUUAUCGUUUUCUAAGAAAGAAAUUAAACUUUUUCUAGAAAAUUAAAAUUAAAUAUGUUUUUAAUAAAAAAUCCUUAUUCUCUUUUUAGCCCGAGAAUAUAUGUGUGUCUGUCUAUAGAGGCCAAUCUCGUAGAUACAAGAAACAAGGAGGAUAGUUUAGCCAAUGGCAGGAUCGAUCUGAAAUUUAUCUAUCGGGCUGAGCUGUAGCAUAUGUCAAACACCUGAGCAGCCGUUCAAACCAUCUAAAUCCUAUAUAAAAGACAAGGAUUCUCCCACCAUUUGCUGCAUGUAGCCUAUGCACACAUCAUAUAUUGGCCAGCACCCCAAAGAAGAUAUUCUUCUACUAGGGGUGGCAAUUUACACUGCCCUAUCGGGUACCCGACCCAACCCGACCCAAGCUUAAUGGGGUAGGUUUUACCCCAUCCUAUCGGAUUUAGGGCGGCUACGGAUAAUCAAAAAAUCUAUCUUAAACUCGACCUACAUAUAUAUAACUCUUCAUAAUCUUCUCCUUGAAGCAAAAUAAACAAUUGGCUUCUUUAGCCUCACCAUACCAAAUCUGUCUAACAAGCCUCGUCUAACUCUGCUCGCCUUGUCCCACCCUGAGACUCUACCCACCCUGCCUGGCCCCGAGGCAAGUACUGGGCAGGUAUAGGUAAUGGCCUAUCCGAUCCACAUCUGAUCCGUUGCCAUCUCUAUUCCCCUCUCUUUUUAUUGGGGCCAUUCCAUUUUCCCUCCCUCCCCCCAGAUGAGUGUCCUUUUCCUUUCAAGUUUAUUAAACAUUAGUUUAUUAGCUUCCUCUUAAAUUUGACUAAGCUCUUCCUACAAAAAUGACACACCAACACCUGAGCCUUUUCAUUUUGAUCACACGGAUGAACUAAAGAUCUUUGCUCAACAUCCAUAGUUAUGUUUUCUUUUUAUUUUUGUAAGAAAACAAAAAACUAAAUUUGAUUACUCUUGUAACAACUUUCCCUCACUCCUUUAACCUUCCUCUAUCUCCACCAUCCAAUAAAGUUGUCACACCCCGACCUGUAGGCAUGGACCGAACAUGUGGUAGGCGGCCGUACUUCCUCAGGGUUAAAUUGCAAUAGGAUAUACAAGGCAUGCAUUUAUCAUACAUAUAAAUAUCAACUCAAAAUCAAUGUAGUGAUAUUACUACAACAAGGCACAUAUAAGGUCAACUAGUUUCUAAUUUCCUUUCAGCUCAGCCUAUAGUCCAUAUCCAAUCUAUUCUUCGGCAUCUAAAAAAUAUACGAAGAGAUGAUUGAGCUAGAGCUUAGAAGUCAUCUUUACCUCUAGAUGGAUCAAGCAUAAUAUGCUCAAAGCAUCAAUUUUCAAAAUAUAAGAUUUUCAAUUAUAACCAAAAUAUUUUGAUAAAUACAUGAUGUAAAAUAUGUUUAUGAUCAUAAAUUUUAAAAUAUGUAAUGCAAUUAAUUAAGAAAGAAUUUUCAAAUCAAUAUAGGUAAAUCAUCUGCUCCCUCUUUUAGCCUUUACUAUGGCUAUGAUCAGCUAGUGGAAAGCCUUGCAAGAGACGAACUCCUAACUACAAUAUGCGAUCAUUAGCAUAUGCUAAUGAUUUAGCAUCCCUGAAGGAAACUACCUCUAAAAUCACGCUAAAAAUAUACUUGCAACUACAAGUGUCAGCCAUCUCACCCUACUAGAAUAACCGAAAGUAAACUAACUCCAGACUAUAAUAUGCCGUCAAUUGGUAUGUGCCAGUGAUUGCACUGGAGGUUUGGAAAGAGACUUUAUUUUGAACCCAUGUGAUCAUAGCCAUAUUAGAUUGCAAACAUGAAAAGUGAUUAAAUCAACAUGAAUUUUGAUGCAAUAAUAAUUCAAUUCAUGCCCAAGUAAAUCAUUUAAUGCUUGAUCCUAUAUUUUAAAAUUUAUUUUUUAUGAUCAUAAAUUUUAAAAUAUGUAAUGCAAUUAAUGAAGAAAGAAUUUUCAAAUCAAUAUAGGUAAAUCAUCUCCUCCUUCUUUUAGCCUUUAAUGUUUUUAAUCAAUAUAGGUAAGUCAUGGUAACGUCUUUAAUGUCUUUGUGUAAUAGCUUUUCUUCACUUCUCUUUCUCCCAAAUGAAGGAAAUUUAAUCAUGUAAAAAAAUCAACGGAUUUUCCUCUAGACGACAAAUAUAACAAAUAUUGAUUUACCGAAGAUAAAUACCAAAUAGGACCUGGAUUUUCCAGGUUUCCCUCGCUCCAAGUUUGCCCCUUCCCCCACGAGGCGAACAGACGGCAGAUCAAGUGCCUAUUUACAUCGUACAGACGUACGUCAGAUCAAGUCGGCAUACAUGUACAGGAAAGAAAUAAUAAAAUCAAAUCGUCAUAUUAGGAACAAUCCCAUUACCAUGUCAGGCCCAGAAUGGAACGUUGCCGAAGAUAGAAGGUCCAUGCAGGCUGACCGAAGAAUGUCCAGCUUCACUGCAUUCAUGCCUGUGCAUCGAUCUCCGGCGAAUCCUUUCACCUUCUGAUAUCCCUCCCCACACGGAGCACACCCCUUCAUUUUCCCCGGCUUUAAAUACUCCACCACUUCACCAGCUCCGCCAACACAUCCAGAAAUCAGACAAUGGCUUCCUCUUCUCUUGCUCUCUCCUCCCUCCUCCUCCUCUUCCUCCCUCUCCUGGCCUCGGCCAAGGGAGGCUUCACCGUCGAGCUCAUCCACCGUGACUCUCCAAAGUCCCCACUCUACGACCCUUCGAAAACUCUAUCUGACCUGGUCCUCGAGAACGCCCGCCGCUCCAUUGCCCGCGCCGACCACCUCCGCCGUGCCUUCUCCCUGGCUGCCUCCGAUGGCACUUACCAGUCCCCGGUCGUCUCUGACAUCGCGGCCUACCUCAUGGAGGUCAACGUCGGCACGCCGGCCAACAAGUUCUUCGCCAUCGCCGACACCGGCAGCGACCUUACCUGGACCGACUGCGAGCCCUGCGAAGGCUGCUACCCGCAGGAUUCCCCCCUCUUCGAUCCCACAAAAUCUUCCACCUACCGCGACAUCUCAU